rnacentral:rRNA from 1 species
ACGGCUCAGUAACACGUAGUCAACCUACCCUUGGGACGGGGACAACCUCGGGAAACUGAGGCUAAUCCCCGAUAGGCGGGGGACGCUGGGAUGCCCCCUCGCCCAAAGCUCCGGCGCCCGAGGAUGGGACUGCGGCCUAUCAGGCUGUUGGUGGUGUAACGGACCACCAAACCUACGACGGGUACGGGCGAUGGGAGUCGGAGCCCGGAGAUGGGGACUGAGACAAGGCCCCAGGCCCUACGGGGCGCAGCAGGCGCGAAAACUCCGCAAUGCGCGCAAGCGUGACGGGGGGACCCCAAGUGCCGUUGGUCUUUCGAUCGACGGUUUUUAGGAAGUCUAAGAAGCUUCCAGAAUAAGGGCUGGGCAAGACUGGUGCCAGCCGCCGCGGUAACACCAGCAGCCCAAGUGGUGGCCACGAUUAUUGGGCCUAAAGCGCUCGUAGCCGGAUCAAUAAGUCCCUUGUGAAAUCGGGCCGCCCAACGGUUCGGCGUGCAAGGGAUACUGUUGGUCUUGAGGCCGGGAGAGGUCGGAGGUACUCCUGGGGUAGCGGUGAAAUGCUCUAAUCCUAGGGGGACCACCAGUGGCGAAGGCGUCCGACCAGAACGGACCUGACGGUAAGGGGCGAAGGCUAGGGGAGCGAACGGGAUUAGAUACCCCGGUAGUCCUAGCUGUAAAGCAUGCGGGCCAGGUGUCUAGCGCUCCUUGAGGGCGCUAUGUGCCGGAGGGAAGCCGUUAAGCCCGCCGCCUGGGAAGUACGGUCGCAAGGCUGAAACUUAAAGGAAUUGGCGGGGGAG